UGUAAAAAACCCUCCUCUGCAAGGAAAAUAUUUCAUUUAUUUUCCAUUAUACCCCCCGAGGAGAAAACCCUCCUCCCCCUUCCAUUUGAACAGAAGAAGACAAAGGGGUGAUGCACCAGUCUCUUUGGCGACUGACGACUACCGAUAGGAGCAGGAAACCAACCGGAUCAGUUGGUUUGAUGUUUUGAACCAUUUUAUCCCUUUUACUCUUGAUUUGAACUGGUUUUGGGAAGGUUUUUAAUGCCUGGAAAUUUCCUUGCGUUUUUUGUUCCCAUAUCUGUUUUGGGAGUUGUUUGCCAAUGAUCGAAGGUUAGUUUACUCUUGAUUUGAACUGGUUUUGGGAAGGUUUUUAAUGCCUGGAAAUUUCCUUGCGUUUUUUGUUCCCAUAUCUGUUUUGGGAGUUGUUUGCCAAUGAUCGAAGGGCAAUCCGUCAGAUGGAUUCUACUCCUCUCUCGACUUCCUUUGCAUCUACAUCAAGUAAUGGUACUUCUGCAAUAGCUUUUCAUGUGUCCUCUCAUCCCUUCAACUCCCCUUGAAUAAUAAAUUCUAAAGCUUCGAAUCAUAUAACUAGAUUUGGCCUCGGGGAAGAUGAUUGGUAGAGGUCGUAUGGUGGAUAGUCUCUACAUGCUGGAGAAUAAAGCUAAUCUUGUGGUUACUGAGUUCAAGAGUCAAACUAGGGAGAGUAAGGUGGAAGAGAAACAAGUUCGGGUUCUUCCUCAUCUACUUGACCCUCCUCCGUUCCGUGUUUUCCUUCGCCGCCACAAGGGCCAACCGAGUUCAAGAGAUGCAGAGCAACUUGAAGCUAUAUUACCAAUAUCAUCGGAUCACCGAGGAAAAAUCCUAUCCAGACAAAUGAUGGAGAGAGCAUUUUGACAGCAACUUGAGUGUAAUCUUCCAAGUGACCAUGAUAAACAGUUCCAGAUCCUCCUUUGCCAAGGG